GCAUCCAAGGUGUGACGAAUAGUAAGAAACGCUGUGUGCAAAGAUAUUAAGUAUUUCUUUAAGUGAGGCUGUUUUUUCCGAACUAUUUUUCCAACAAAACGUACAUUAUGGCAGUUGUCACGUUAAUAAAAUCUGUUGGGAUAAUAUUUUGCUUCUGUAUUCUCUCACUGCAAAGGAUAUCAAAGUAAAACGUUAGAGCAUACUAAUAUCCAGUUUAUAUGGAUAUAGUGUUUAUUGAAAUAAAGUUUCUAUCCAAGAGGUUGAAAAAAUGAUUAAAGUUCGUAAUAAAAUUAUAAGUAGCAACAAAUUUUGGAACUUUUUAAAACUGAUGUAAUUCCAAUCAAAACAGCAUUCACUCUAUUAACAUCAAUGAUUAAUGCUAAUGUAAUAUUAGAUAAAAUGAAAAGAAAAAAACUGUAACAAGUAUCAUAAAUAGUCUUGAUGAAAUGGACCCUGCAUUGUCCUUAGCUGUAUGGAAGUCUAUGCAUACCAUGUAAACAAAAUAAAUACCACUGUAAACAAAAUAAAGGACUGGUACAGUGUAAUAAACUAUUAUUACAAAAAUUAUGGUGUGUUUUACAAAAUGGAAGGCAAUGUUGCGCUAAUAUUAUUUAUCCGUAUUCAUUACCAUUAGUUAAUUUCAAAAAUUAUGUGUUGAUCCUCGUCACUUGUAUACAAAUUUCUUUACAAACAUGAGACAAGAUUUUUUAUACAAAGUGUACAAACAAAUCAAUAUGAAGCGCUUGCGGUAACAAUGUCAUUUGUCGAAUGUUUCGGCUAUUAUAUUCUUUUAAAUGUCAAUAAUCAAAAUCUAAUUAAUGGUCCGCUCAAAGAACAGGUUUUUAUCCUAUCCAUUUAUGUUACAGUAAAAAGUAUAACAGUGUAACUGUAGCAGUGGAGCGUUUACUUUAAAAGUAGUCAAAUCGUUUCUUCUUUUUUUAAUUUUUUUAUUUUGAGAUGAUUUUAUACCAUUUAGCAUAUAUUAUAUCAAU